GUCCACGCCGUAAACGAUGGGCGCUAGGUGUGGGGUGUCGACUCCCUCCGUGCCGAAGCUAACGCAUUAAGCGCCCCGCCUGGGGAGUACGGCCGCAAGGCUAAAACUCAAAGGAAUUGACGGGGACCCGCACAAGCAGCGGAGCAUGUGGUUUAAUUCGACGCAACGCGAAGAACCUUACCUAGGCUUGACAUGUUGGUGACAAAACGUGGAAACACGUCUUCUUCGGACACCAUCACAGGUGUGCAUGGCUGUCGU
rnacentral:rRNA from 1 species